rnacentral:tRNA from 1 species
UCGAAAUCGGUAGACGCUACGGACUUAAAAUCCGUCGACUUUUAAAAUCGUGAGGGUUCAAGUCCCUCUAUCC